UACGGAGGGAGCUAGCGUUGUUCGGAAUUACUGGGCGUAAAGCGCACGUAGGCGGCGACUCAAGUCAGAGGUGAAAGCCCGGGGCUCAACCCCGGAACUGCCUUUGAAACUAGGUUGCUAGAAUCUUGGAGAGGUCAGUGGAAUUCCGAGUGUAGAGGUGAAAUUCGUAGAUAUUCGGAAGAACACCAGUGGCGAAGGCGACUAACUGGACAUGUAUUGACGCUGAGGUGCGAAAGUGUGGGGAGCAAACAGG
rnacentral:rRNA from 1 species